ensembl:lncRNA MAFTRR MAF transcriptional regulator RNA
UGGGGGCGCGGCGUCGCGGAGCUCGGGCCGGUGGAAGGUUUACCUGCUAGGCUCGUCCCACCUGUGUGGAGCUCCCAUCGCCCUCCAGCGUUGCGCAGCCUGAAGGGACAGGACGGACAAGCGGGUGCCUCCUUCUAAUUCAUCUUCACCAUUGUGGUUGUCAAUAUGGCAUGCAGAAUUAUCCCUCUUUCCAGGUUUUCCCCAAGGACCCUGGACAAUGCUGGUUUUUCCUAUGUGCACCACCAAAGGGCCUAUCCAGCUUCUGGAGUCUACCUGGAUUCCUGGGCUCAUGGCCCCUUCCUCCAUCUUCAAACCAGCAAUGAUGGAGCUGAGCCUGACACUCUAACCGGUUCUCUGGGUGUACUGCAAAGGUCUAAUAAAAGGCACCUUUGCCCGGUUGCUUCAAUUCUAGGAAGCUGUUCAAUGUUUGACUAUAUUUCUCCAUACUCAUUUGAAAACAGUUCAUCAGAUUGGAACGACCUGGAGCAGCCAGCAGAGUGACAAAUGAGGAAGAGGACAGAAUCUAGCUGAAGAAGCUCUGGAAGAUACCAUUUGAAGUCUUGAGUGCUUGAACUCACAAAGAAAGCACAUGAGUACACACUAGCACUUGAGCUCUUCAUUUUAAACAGAAUAAAGAAUGUACUGCUAUUAUUGUCAUUUUACAGAUAGGGAAAUUCAGACUCACCAGGGCUACUCAGAUACAAAGAAAAUGAGCCAGAAUUUCAAGCAAGCCUGAGCUUAGAAUCUACACUAUUUUUUUUUUUUUUUUUGAGACAUGGUCUUACUUUGUCACCCAGGCUGGAGUUCAGUGGUAUUAGGUUGGCACAAAAGUAAUUGUGGUCUCUGCCACUUAAAACUAGAGCCCGAAACUGCAAUUACUUUUGCACCAACCUAAUGCACUUACCAGAGCUCACUUACGCCUUGACCUCCUGGGCUCAAGUGAUUCUCCCACCUCAGCCUCCCAAGUGGCUGGGAAUGUGGGCAUGCACCACCCUGCCCGGCUAGCUUUUCUUUCUUUUUUUUUUGUGGAGACAGGAUUUUGCCAUGUUGUCCCGGCUGGUCUUUAACUCCUGAGCUCAAACUAUCCUUCUGCCCUGGCCUCCCAAAGUUCUGGGAUUACAGGCAUGAGCCACUGUGCCCGGCCCAGAACCUAUGCUCCUAACUGCCACACCAAUUGACCUCUAUUCAGCCAUUUUUAUUUCUAUAGCACUUGGUAUAAUUUCACUUUGCACACAGUAUCUAUAGAUAAUCAUUCCAGGGCAUGUAAUCGUCAUAAGAUUAUUUAUGUUAUUGCAUGUGUAUUACUGCAUGUAAUCUUCAUGUGUUAUUGCCUCUAACAAGUUAUGUAUUUCCAUGUAGUCUUCAUAACUGUGUAUAGAAGACCAUUUUAGAGAUGGAAAACUGAGACUCAGAAGUGGUAAUUGUCCUACUGGUCAGAGAUUUAGCCAGGGUUUGGAUUGUGGAAUGCAGAGGACCACUUACUUUUCACUAGACCAUAAAUGCUCCUCACCACUGAGGCAUGUCAAAUGCCAGAUAUCUCCAGGAACCUUAGGCUACGUCUCCAUUGUUUUUGCUUUUUCCCCCCUUAGACACAGCUUGGCAAAGAACAAAUGAUCCCAAACACCAAACAGCACACUUGGAAACAUUUAACCCGCAUACUUUCAGACUUUCUGGCAUGGACCAACCUCUUGUCUUACCUUUGUUCCUGGCCAGAAAGAAAUGGCAUGAAAAGAUGGACAGUUUUUAUAACCUCUUUGAGCUCUAAACCAUGUUUCCUGUGCACUUAGGAGAUCUUAAUAGAAACCAAGUACUUCUUUUAGGCAUCUAUACUCUUAAUGCCGUAAGUCAAGUCAAGUACCCAGGUGGUUAAGAUAACUGUACCAACAGAAACAUUUUUAAAAAAUAUCCUAACACAACAUGAAGUGACCAUCGCGAAUUCAAAGAAGCAGGCAUAUUUCUUAAAGGUUGAAAAGAGGUGAGUCUUUCACAAGAUUCUAGCUCAAGGCCAUAUUUGCACAAGUAUAGUCAUUCCUCUAGCAAGGUUUUGUUUAUCUGGCCAUUAAAAAAAAUUAAAACAACUUUUACU